UGGAGUGACCGACUGUCUUGGUUUGCCUGGGACUGAGGGCGUACUCAGGAUGCAGGACUUUCAGUGCUAAAUC
rnacentral:miRNA from 1 species